GUGAGUAACACGUGGGUGAUCUGCCCUGCACUUUGGGAUAAGCCUGGGAAACUGGGUCUAAUACCGAAUACACCCUGCUGGUCGCAUGGCCUGGUGGGGGAAAGCUUUUGCGGUGUGGGAUGGGCCCGCGGCCUAUCAGCUUGUUGGUGGGGUGAUGGCCUACCAAGGCGACGACGGGUAGCCGGCCUGAGAGGGUGUCCGGCCACACUGGGACUGAGAUACGGCCCAGACUCCUACGGGAGGCAGCAGUGGGGAAUAUUGCACAAUGGGCGCAAGCCUGAUGCAGCGACGCCGCGUGAGGGAUGACGGCCUUCGGGUUGUAAACCUCUUUCACCAGGGACGAAGCGUGAGUGACGGUACCUGGAGAAGAAGCACCGGCCAACUACGUGCCAGCAGCCGCGGUAAUACGUAGGGUGCGAGCGUUGUCCGGAAUUACUGGGCGUAAAGAGCUCGUAGGUGGUUUGUCGCGUUGUUCGUGAAAACUCACAGCUUAACUGUGGGCGUGCGGGCGAUACGGGCAGACUGGAGUACUGCAGGGGAGACUGGAAUUCCUGGUGUAGCGGUGGAAUGCGCAGAUAUCAGGAGGAACACCGGUGGCGAAGGCGGGUCUCUGGGCAGUAACUGACGCUGAGGAGCGAAAGCGUGGGGAGCGAACAGGAUUAGAUACCCUGGUAGUCCACGCCGUAAACGGUGGGUACUAGGUGUGGGUUUCCUUCCUUGGGAUCCGUGCCGUAGCUAACGCAUUAAGUACCCCGCCUGGGGAGUACGGCCGCAAGGCUAAAACUCAAAGAAAUUGACGGGGGCCCGCACAAGCGGCGGAGCAUGUGGAUUAAUUCGAUGCAACGCGAAGAACCUUACCUGGGUUUGACAUGCACAGGACGCCGGCAGAGAUGUCGGUUCCCUUGUGGCCUGUGUGCAGGUGGUGCAUGGCUGUCGUCAGCUCGUGUCGUGAGAUGUUGGGUUAAGUCCCGCAACGAGCGCAACCCUUGUCUCAUGUUGCCAGCACGUUUAUGGUGGGGGACUCGUGGAAAGACUGCCGGGGUCAACUCCGAGGAAAGUGGGGGAUGACGUCCAAGUCAUCAUAGCCCCUUAUUUUCCAGGGGUGUCACCAUUGCUUCAAUAGGCCGGUGACA
rnacentral:rRNA from 1 species